GACCAUCUGGGCAGCGAGUGCAGCGCCUCUGGGCGGUCGGAACCUCCAUCAAGCUCCAAGGCCUCCCCAGUGAGCACCAAGGGUCUCUGUCCGCGGCACUGCGAGGCACAGCGACCAUCUCCUCCGGCCACGCUGACACAGGCCCGGUGGCUCCCAGAGGCCCCUCCAUGCUGGGCCUUCUGUAGUGUGAACAGCCGCAUCUUUAAUGCACCCUGGUCACAGCACCACUCUCCUCCAGCAAUUCUGAGGGGCCUUCUCUGCUUGAGAUACAUCUCCUCACCCAAGGAGUCAGCCUGGGGUUUUACAUCAGGUGGGGUUAGCUUCCAUUGGAGCCCAAAACAGUAACAUCCAUCCUGUGCUUAAAGGCGUGUCAAGCCCCUGGGCCCUUUCACAUAAUGCAUCCAACAGAGGCCUCACAGGGAAGGGGCAUCUGCCCUCACAGCAUCACAAUUCCAACUCCAGAGGAGCGGUGCACACGCUUCAGUGUCCCUCCUUGGGUGGGAAAAACCACUGCACGACACUGGCCUGUGCCCUGGGGCCUAAGGCUGCCAGGACACAACUAAGCUGGCCAGUGAAGUCUUCAGUUUUAAAACAAGAGUGGCUUCCUUUGGAGGUGCAUCCCUGAGUGACCACGGACACAGUUUAAACUGGACAAACAUCACAGGACACACAGGGCCCAGCUAGACUUAGCCACACUGGAGAGCACCUCUGGUAGGUGUUAACUCAAACAGCCACCGGCGGCAGGAGCAUGUCCAUCUGGGUGGGCACAAUUUGCUCCUCCCCCGCUGAGGGUGGGAAGGCCACAGCUCCUCGGGGGCCUGGUUAUUUGCCAGGAACAUUCCGUCCCAGGUGAGACCAUGUGUUUUCCAAAGCCUGCCGGCACACUAAGAAUCCUCCCUUACGUGGGAUGAUUCUACAGAGGUAGCCCAUCUACAAGACAAACCCCCAAGUGGCACGACCCCAUUUGCACUUUUGAAAGCAUCCUUUUAUGUAAAGCCAUUGCAGAUGUCCACAAUUCCACCCAGAUGGAUGCCGAGAACACGUGGACGAUGGGACGGUUUUCUCCGACGAUGGCGGUGCGGCCAAGGCCUGCCGAGGCACUGCACGAUUGGGUUGGGUGCUACGGGACUGGCCUUUCCCAGGCUGAGGGCCGACCAGAGACAGCCUUGGCCAAAGCCUGGAGACCUGCUUGGCCUCCUUAUACCACAGCCAAGGAAUCUGGUGAUCUUUCUUUUUCUUCCCCAAAGGCAAAGGAAGAAAAAAUCCUCUCUACUCCUCACCACCGGCAAAGGCACUUGAGGCCUUCAGGAGGCAGUACCCAGCACUGGUCUCCCUCAGCCCAGUUGCCCCACUAGUACCAGCUCAGACAUACCACAGCCCCAGUAGCCAACAGUGGCCCAAAGUCCAGGGCAGAACAAGUAGAACAAGCAGGGUCAGACCCAGAGUGCCACCCCAACCCCCUGGAGCCAGCAGGAACCCACACAGCUGCCAGGACAGGGCCAGCGCACACAAGGUCCUGCCCUCCGUGAAGGUUUCGAAUGAGUUGUUUAUUCACUAUGUUUGAUGACUAUAAAUAAGUGUUUCCACUAUGGAAAAGAAAGUUAGCACAGUACAUUUGCAUGACUGGGGAAUGGAUUUUCUGGUCAUCUUCAAUAGGGCAAAAACUUCAAAAAAAAAAAAAAAAA